rnacentral:lncRNA from 13 species
GAUGGCCUUUCAAUUCUCCAUUUCCCGUCUUUACUCAUACCCCACUCCUCACGCCCAUUUCCUUCAAGGCUCGGUUCAAAUCUCUUCUCCUCCACAAAAGUCUUCCCUGAUUUCUCCUCUUUUCUCCCUGGGACUCUGUUUCUCUGUUGUCAUUCCACACACGUUGUCUCCAUAGGUUUGGAACUCUGCGUUGUUCUCUCUGGUGGCCCAGGACAGGGUCCUGCAUAAAGCAGGUGCUUAGUGAGUAUUCAUUGAAUGAAACUGACAGCUGACCCAAUCUUACCUGCACUGUUGUCACCUAUGUGGGCAUAGUGAGAGCUACCACACGGUUCUAACAUAUGAAUUGUUGUUGGAGAUAUGCAGUUGUUCGUGAGGGUUUGAAAACUUGCAUAAGCUAAAAAGGAAGCUUUUAUAAACCUUGGAGAGGAGCCUCUAUACUUCAUUCAGGUCAACCUGCUUUAGCACGGACAGGGCCUCGCUCUGUUGCCCAGGCUGGGUUGUAGUGGACACAAUCAUAGCGCGCGGCAGCCUGGAACUCCAGGGCUCACGUGAUCCUCCUGCCUCAGCCUCUCAAUUACUUGAGACUACAGGUGAGUUUUUCUAUCCAAGCUUGGUUUAAUCCACUGAUGUGGAACUGCAGCUAUGAAGGCUGACUAUGAUUUAAGUGGAAAUUACUUUCAGUUUACAGAAAUAGAUUACAGACAGAGUCUCACUGUGUCACCAGCCUGGACUGCAGUGGUGCGAUCUCAGCUCACUGCAGCCUCUGCCUUCUGGGUUCAAGCAAUUCUCCUGCCUCAGCCUCCCAAGUAUCUGGGACUACAGACACUUACCACCACACCAAGCUAAUUUUCGUAUUUUAAAGUAGAGAUGGGGUUUCACCAUGUUGGCUAGGAUGGUCUCGAUCUCCUGACCUUGUGUAAACUUUCUUUUCUUUUACCAGCGUGAAGUUC